rnacentral:rRNA from 1 species
ACGUUGAAAAGUGAGCGGAUGAACUGAGGGUAGCGGAGAAAUUCCAAUCGAACCUGGAGAUAGCUGGUUCUCUCCGAAAUAGCUUUAGGGCUAGCCUCAAGUGAUGAUUAUUGGAGGUAGAGCACUGUUUGGACGAGGGGCCCCUCUCGGGUUACCGAAUUCAGACAAACUCCGAAUGCCAAUUAAUUUAACUUGGGAGUCAGAACAUGGGUGAUAAGGUCCGUGUUCGAAAGGGAAACAGCCCAGACCACCAGCUAAGGUCCCAAAAUAUAUGUUAAGUGGAAAAGGAUGUGGCGUUGCCCAGACAACUAGGAUGUUGGCUUAGAAGCAGCCAUCAUUUAAAGAGUGCGUAAUAGCUCACUAGUCGAGUGACACUGCGCCGAAAAUGUACCGGGGCUAAACAUAUUACCGAAGCUGUGGAUUGUCCUUUGGACAAUGGUAGGAGAGCGUUCUAAGGGCGUUGAAGCAUGAUCGUAAGGACAUGUGGAGCGCUUAGAAGUGAGAAUGCCGGUGUGAGUAGCGAAAGACGGGUGAGAAUCCCGUCCACCGAUUGACUAAGGUUUCCAGAGGAAGGCUCGUCCGCUCUGGGUUAGUCGGGUCCUAAGCUGAGGCCGACAGGCGUAGGCGAUGGAUAACAGGUUGAUAUUCCUGUACCACCUAUAAUCGUUUUAAUCGAUGGGGGGACGCAGUAGGAUAGGCGAAGCGUGCGAUUGGAUUGCACGUCUAAGCAGUAAGGCUGAGUAUUAGGCAAAUCCGGUACUCAUUAAGGCUGAGCUGUGAUGGGGAGAAGACAUUGUGUCUUCGAGUCGUU